CUCUCUGGCGGAGCGAUCUGCGCGCCAUCUGCACUCGUACUUUCGAACCAUUUCAAACGAUGACAAGUGGAAUCAAGAGAUAAUAGUCCAAAAUGUUGGAGACCAAAAGAAGAGCGAUAUGAACCGUGAAAUAUAUUUAAUUAUUAUUAAAUUAUUAUUAUUAAAAAGAUUCUAGAUUCGCCGAUGAUAAUCAAUCGAUUAUUAUAUCGAUAAUUUGUUAUAUAGAAAUUACAAGACCUGUUCUUUUCAGUCUGGACUUCUUCAUCUUUUCUCUUUUUUUUUUCUCCAAAACGUUGGAGACAAAAAGAAGAGCGAUAUGAAACGUGAAAUAUAUUUAAUUAUUAUUAAAUUAUUAUUAUUAAAAAGAUUCCAGAUUCGCCGACGAUAAUCAAUCGAUUAUUAUAUCGAUAAUUUGUUAUAUAGAAAUUACAAGACCUGUUCUUUUCAGUCUGGACUUCUUCAUCUUUUCUCUUUUUUUUUCUCCAAAACGUUGGAGACAAAAAGAAGAGCGAUAUAAACCGUGAAAUAUAUUUAAUUAUUAUUGUUGCAAACCGCGCAGGAAUUCGUAUUUUUUGAAAAUACUGCCAUGUGAAAAACAGGAAGCUCGCCUCGCAUUCUUUGUUUGCACAAAUAGGUAGAACCGUCGCUGGCGGCUACCCUAUAAAAGGGGGGCCGCGCUGAGGUGACUUUCACGCUUCAGUAAAAAUUCAAAGACAAAAGGAUCGCGUAAUAUAUUUCAGUCGCUCUAUAAGUUGCAAGACACGCGCGAAAAUCUUGUAAAUUUCUUGUUAAAACUGUUAUGACUUAUAUUACUUGUGUACGUAAAAUAAAAUUGAGUUUAACUCCACCUUGCUGUAAAUAUAUUUCUUGAACAAAAAAAA